rnacentral:tRNA from 1 species
GGAGAGAUGACCGAGUGGCCUAUGGUAACGGUUUACUAAACCGUCGAACAGCAAUGUUCCGCGAGUUCGAAUCUCGCUCUCUCCGCCA